GGCGGCACCGAGGUAAUCCAGGUGACUAAUGUCUCCCCGAGCGCUAGCUCUGAGCAGAUGCGGACUCUCUUCGGUUUCCUAGGCAAGAUCGACGAACUGCGCCUCUUCCCGCCGGAGAAAUUGGAAUCCUCUAAGAAUCUACUGUUAUGUGAUUCGCCUUUGCCAGUCUCAUCUCGUGUCUGCUUUGUUAAGUUCCAUGAUCCAGACUCAGCAGUUGUGGCACAGCAUCUGACAAACACUGUAUUCGUUGACAGAGCUUUGAUAGUCGUACCAUAUGCAGAAGGAGUUAUUCCUGAUGAAGCUAAAGCUUUGUCUCUGUUGGCACCAGCUAAUGCAGUGGCAGGUCUUCUGCCUGGUGGUGGACUCCUGCCUACUCCUAACCCACUUACCCAGAUUGGCGCUGUUCCACUGGCUGCUUUGGGGGCUCCUACUCUUGAUCCUGCCCUUGCUGCACUUGGGCUUCCUGGAGCAAACUUGAACUCUCAGUCUCUUGCUGCAGAUCAGUUGCUGAAGCUUAUGAGUACUGUUGAUCCCAAGUUGAAUCAUGUAGCUGCUGGUCUCGUUUCACCAAGUCUGAAAUCGGAUACCUCUAGUAAAGAAAUAGAGGAAGCUAUGAAAAGAGUACGAGAAGCACAGUCCCUAAUUUCUGCUGCUAUAGAACC
rnacentral:sRNA from 1 species